CGCACGGGUGAGUAACACGUUGGUGACCUGCCCCGAAGCGGGGGACAACCACUGGAAACGGUGGCUAAUACCGCAUGUGCUUAAUCAUUCGUUUGGUUAAGUAAAACUCAGGUGCUUCGGGAGGGGCCUGCGGUCGAUUAGUUAGUUGGUGAGGUAAUGGCUCACCAAGACAGUUAUCGAUAGGGGGCGUGAGAGCGUGACCCCCCACACUGGAACUGAGACACGGUCCAGACUCCUACGGGAGGCAGCAGUGAGGAAUAUUGCACAAUGGGCGCAAGCCUGAUGCAGCAACGCCGCGUGGGGGAUGAAGGCCUUCGGGUCGUAAACCCCUUUUCCAUGGGAAGAGAAAGGACGGUACCAUGGGAAUAAGUCUCGGCUAACUACGUGCCAGCAGCCGCGGUAAAACGUAGGAGGCGAACGUUAUCCGGAAUUACUGGGCGUAAAGCGCGCGCAGGCGGUUUCGUAAGUCCGAUGUGAAAGCUCCCGGCUUAACUGGGAGAGGCCAUUGGAUACUGCGGAGCUUGAGGUUAGGAGAGGAAAGCGGAAUUCCCGGUGUAGUGGUGGAAUGCGUAGAUAUCGGGAGGAACUCCAGAGGCGAAGGCGGCUUUCUGGCCUACACCUGACGCUGAGGCGCGAAAGCGUGGGGAGCGAACAGGAUUAGAUACCCUGGUAGUCCACGCUGUAAACGAUGUGAACUAGGUGUUGGUGGUAUCGACCCAUCAGUGCCGGAGCUAACGCGUUAAGUUCACGCUGGGGACUACGGCG
rnacentral:rRNA from 1 species